UGGGGAAUAUUGGACAAUGGGCGAAAGCCUGAUCCAGCGACGCCGCGUGGGUGAAGAAGGCCUGCGGGUUGUAAAGCCCUUUCGGUGGGGAAGAAAAGCCUCGACCUAACACGUCGGGGUCUUGACGUAACCCAUAGAAGAGGCACCGGCUAACUCUGUGCCAGCAGCCGCGGUAAUACAGAGGGUGCGAGCGUUAAUCGGAAUUACUGGGCGUAAAGCGCACGUAGGCGGGUCGUUAAGUCAGGGGUGAAAUCCCGGAGCUCAACUCCGGAACUGCCUUUGAUACUGGCGAUCUUGAGAUCGGAAGAGGUGAGUGGAAUUCCCAGUGUAGAGGUGAAAUUCGUAGAUAUUGGGAAGAACACCAGUGGCGAAGGCGGCUCACUGGUCCGAUACUGACGCUGAGGUGCGAAAGCGUGGGGAGCAAA
rnacentral:rRNA from 1 species